AAUCAACGCUGGCGGCGUGCCUAACACAUGCAAGUCGAACGAGAAAGGGACUUCGGUCCGUGAGUACAGUGGCGCACGGGUGAGUAACACGUGACUAACCUACCCUUGAGUGGGGGAUAACUUCGGGAAACCGAGGCUAAUACCGCAUAAUACCUACGGGUCAAAGGAGCAAUUCGCUUUAGGAGGGGGUCGCGGCAGAUUAGUUAGUUGGCGGGGUAAUGGCCCACCAAGACGGUGAUCUGUAUCCGGCCNGAGAGGGCGCACGGACACACUGGAACUG
rnacentral:rRNA from 1 species